rnacentral:rRNA from 1 species
UACGAAGGGGGCUAGCGUUGCUCGGAAUGACUGGGCGUAAAGGGCGCGUAGGCGGUCAGCACAAGUCAGUUGUGAAAUCUCCGGGCUUAACUCGGAAAGGUCAACUGAUACUGUGCGACUAGAGUGCAGAAGGGGCAACUGGAAUUCUCGGUGUAGCGGUGAAAUGCGUAGAUAUCGAGAGGAACACCUGCGGCGAAGGCGGGUUGCUGGGCUGACACUGACGCUGAUGCGCGAAAGCCAGGGGAGCGAACGGG